rnacentral:tRNA from 1 species
GGUGGCUCAGUGGUAGAGCGCUUGCCUAGCAUGCAGGAAGCCCUGGGUUCAAUUCCUCAGCACCA